UACCAGCACCCCGAGUGGUCGGGACGUUUAUUGGGCCUAAAGCACCCGUAGCCGGUUCUACAAGUCUUCCGUUAAAUCCAGCUGCUUAACAGAUGGGCUGCGGAAGAUACUAUGGAGCUAGGAGGCGGGAGAGGCAAGCGGUACUCGAUGGGUAGGGGUAAAAUCCGUUGAUCCAUUGAAGACCACCAGUGGCGAAGGCGGCUUGCCAGAACGCGCUCGACGGUGAGGGAUGAAAGCUGGGGGAGCAAACCGG
rnacentral:rRNA from 1 species